GAUAUAUUGGGCUUGUGCAUUUGAUGAUUAUGCAAAGAAAGAAUGUGAGAAAAAUAGAGUGAGCUGAGACACAGAGUUUUGAGAGAGUGAGAUCUGAGAGUUGUAGAGGAGCCGAGAGACUAUAGAGGAGGCAAGAGCUUGAGGAUUGAUGAUCCAGAGGGGACAUUCUUUUUCAGGGGCCAGAGCUUAAGAAACAUGGAGCAAAAGUUAAACCACCAUCCCCAACAUCAUACCUCAACUCUCUCUCUCCACAACCUGUUACCUCAACCCAAUCCAUUAAUCCCAGAUAAACUACAAUGGAUUCCAUCACCAUAAGACAAAUUUUCUAUUGCCAAACCUGUGGCUUUCACAUUCUUCCCUCCUCAUGGAAUGAUCAGGUUGCAUGGGUUGCUCACCAUUGGAAGGGUAAGGCUUUAGACUACAGAGCACAUACAUCUCGUUUGGCACUUACUUCUCUGGUUUAUAAUAUCUGGUCAGAGGGUAACCGCGGAAUCUUUAAGAAGAAAAGACUAUCUGCAAACUCAAUUUUGAACGAAGUUCGGGAAUCAAUUCGAUUCAAACUGAUAGCUGAUCCUCCUCUUGAUUCCCUAAUUAACAGGCGUAUUGUAAUUGAAUAGGACAUCCAUUGGUCCAUACUUCGUCCUCCUCCAAGACCGCCGAACGAGGAAUGGAAUAGUGAAGCAUCUCGUCGCUGGUUGCUUCACUCAGUUGCUCCAAUGGCUGUUUCACCAGAAUUUGUGACUAACUGUUAUGUUUGUUUGUUUGUUUGUUUGGGUUGGGAUUUAUCUUAAGUCAUGUUGGGCUCUUUGUAUGGGCUGAAUCUGGUUGCCUUCUUAUGGACUGGGCUUUUGUAACUCUUUGCCUAUCUCAA